UACGAAGGGGGCGAGCGUUGUUCGGAUUUACUGGGCGUAAAGCGUGCGCAGGCGGUAAGUUAAGUCUGAUGUGAAAGCCCCGGGCUCAACCUGGGAAUGGCAUUGGAAACUGGCUUGCUGGAGUGUGGCAGAGGGGGGUGGAAUUCCGCGUGUAGCAGUGAAAUGCGUAGAGAUGUGGAGGAAUACCGAUGGCGAAGGCAGCCUCCUGGGCCAACACUGACGCUCAUGCACGAAAGCGUGGGGAGCAAACAGG
rnacentral:rRNA from 1 species